rnacentral:tRNA from 1 species
GCCGAGAUAGGCGGUGGCGGUGUCGGUGACUUCGUGUGUCACCGCGUCGAGGGGGAUGCCGAUCUGCUCGGCCACCCGGCG